UUCAAUCGCGUAUGGUGUAUGAUUUUUUCGGUUCAAGAGCGUUCCCGGGGGACAGCGUAAAAAAAUGUGUGAGAUUUUUUUAUUAUUUUUAUCUAUGAACCGUCGGUGAGGUCGGUGAGCUGUAAAGAAGACUUGCGAACAAAUAUGCAGUAUUUUUUAUAAACUUGAGAUCGAGUGAUAGUAGACAUUUUACACGCAUCCUAUAUUAUACGGUUUGGAUAUCAACUUUAUAGCAUGUAAGUACUUGCAAAACGUGUUUCUACGGUUUGUCUGUUUGGCCAUUGAACGAAUAUUGGUACAUUACGUAGGAACGAUAAAGUAAAUCAUGGACAAUAAAUCCAAGCAAAUGCAUCAUGAUACAUAACGAAUCUAAUCAUCAGAACAUAUUUUGUGUUAAGGUUAAGAAAAAUAUAUAAAAUUGUUGUUAUUUGAACGCCAACGUUUACUAACUAUUGUAUCUAAUUGACAACCUAUAAUAUGUACGCUGCUGUAUAAAAAUGAAUGCUAUUAGUAAAACUUUACGUUCCGAUCCUCAAUAUUAUUUCGAAAAAUGCAAAAGUAUAAAUUUGCAAAAUCAUAAAUUUGUUGAAGCCCGUUUAAUUCCCGAUUGAACAAUGGUUUAAAAAAAAAAAAAGAAAAAAGA